rnacentral:rRNA from 1 species
GAAUUUUGGACAAUGGGCGAAAGCCUGAUCCAGCAAAGCCGCGUGCAGGAUGAAGGCCUUUGGGUUGUAAACUGCGUUUGUACGGAACGAAAAGCUUUGGGUUAAUCACCUGGAGGCAUGACGGUACCGGAAGACAAAGCACCGGCUAACUACGUGCAGGCAGCCGCGGUGAUACGUAGGGUGCAAGCGUAAAUCGGAAUUACUGGGCGUAAAGCAUGCGCAGGCGGUUUUGUAAGACAGAUGUGAAAUCCCCGGGCUCAACCUGGGAACUGCCUUUGUGACUGCAAGGCUAGAGUACGGCAGAGGGGGGUGGAAUUCCGCGUGUAGCAGUGAAAUGCGUAGAUAUGCGGAGGAACACCGAUGGCGAAGGCAACCCCCUGGGCCUGUACUGACGCUCAUGCACGAAAGCGUGGGGAGCAAACA